rfam:Ricinus communis ctg_1100012361039, whole genome shotgun sequence.
AGGGUUUGCUAUGAGGAUUCACAGCUCCCUCUUCUGAGUUAAUGAAGAGAUUAGCUGGCAGAAUCGAACCUAUAACUUUGCUUUUGCCGCUACUGAGUAA